GUGCCAGCCGCCGCGGUAAUACAGAGGGUGCAAGCGUUAAUCGGAAUUACUGGGCGUAAAGGGUGCGUAGGCGGUUGAUUAAGUUAGCUGUGAAAUCCCUGGGCUUAACCUGGGAAUGGCAGUUAAUACUGAUGAGCUAGAGUAGAGUAGAGGGAAGUGGAAUUUCCGGUGUAGCGGUGAAAUGCGUAGAUAUCGGAAAGAACACCAGUGGCGAAGGCGGCUUCCUGGACUCAUACUGACGCUGAGGCACGAAAGCGUGGGGAGCAAACAGGAUUAGAUACCCUGGUAGUCC
rnacentral:rRNA from 1 species